UACGGGGGGGGCAAGCGUUGUUCGGAAUUACUGGGCGUAAAGGGCUCGUAGGCGGCCAACUAAGUCGGAUGUGAAAUCCCCAGGCUUAACCUGGGAACUGCAUCCGAUACUGGAUGGCUUGAAUCCGGGAGAGGGAUGCGGAAUUCCAGGUGUAGCGGUGAAAUGCGUAGAUAUCUGGAGGAACACCGGUGGCGAAGGCGGCAUCCUGGACCGACACUGACGCUGAGGAGCGAAAGCCAGGGGAGCAAACGGG
rnacentral:rRNA from 1 species